CCAAUAAGCAAAGUCUCCCAGAAUGCACCCGAUCUCGUCAGAUGUCGGAAACUAAGCAGGGGUUGAGCCUGGACAGUGCUUGGAUGGGCCACCAACACGCGCGAAUCACGUGUUGU
rnacentral:rRNA from 1 species